CCUACGGGUGGCAGCAGUGGGGAAUAUUGGACAAUGGGGGGAACCCUGAUCCAGCGACGCCGCGUGAGUGAAGAAGUAUUUCGGUAUGUAAAGCUCUAUCAGCAGGGAAGAAAGAAAUGACGGUACCUGACUAAGAAGCCCCGGCUAACUACGUGCCAGCAGCCGCGGUAAUACGUAGGGGGCAAGCGUUAUCCGGAUUUACUGGGUGUAAAGGGAGCGUAGACGGCGAUGCAAGUCUGAAGUGAAAGGCGGGGGCUCAACCCCCGGACUGCUUUGGAAACUGUAUGGCUGGAGUGCAGGAGAGGUAAGUGGAAUUCCUAGUGUAGCGGUGAAAUGCGUAGAUAUUAGGAGGAACACCAGUGGCGAAGGCGGCUUACUGGACUGUAACUGACGUUGAGGCUCGAAAGCGUGGGGAGCAAACAGGAUUAGAUACCCUAGUAGUC
rnacentral:rRNA from 1 species